UUCAGUGGCACACAUGCAACAAGAAGGUUUCACAGAUUUAGGGCUUUGAGGUUUCACUUUAGCCUAACAUGUAACCCUUGAUCAAGGCCACCAGAUGUUUCAAGUCAUCACAGUAUUGAGUAGACACUAGCUGGUUUUACUCACCUGGCCACAUUCUCUGCUGGAGAAGGUUUCCCUUUGAGUAGGAGAGACCAUGUAGGGAUCUAGAAACAUCAGAAAUGAGAGAACUGUUCAAAUUACUUUUGGAAGAUUUCUUCAAAAGAAGUCACAGCCUUCUUUAUGAGAAGCUGCACUAAUCUUCCAGAGACUGGUCCAGGAGCUCAGCAUCUGUUUUUGUGCAGAAAUAAUUUUCUGUUUAGAGUCUGGCAUUUCAAUUAUCUUGAGAUUUUCCAAGAAAAUGUAUGAUAAAAUUAAAUAAAUAAAUUUUCCUAUUUCAUCUAUUAAA